GACGAACGCUGGCGGCGUGCUUAACACAUGCAAGUCGAACGGAAAGGCCCUGCUUUUGUGGGGUGCUCGAGUGGCGAACGGGUGAGUAACACGUGAGUAACCUGCCCUUGACUUUGGGAUAACUUCAGGAAACUGGAGCUAAUACCGGAUAGGAGCUCCUGCUGCAUGGUGGGGGUUGGAAAGUUUCGGCGGUUGGGGAUGGACUCGCGGCUUAUCAGCUUAUUGGUGGGGUAGUGGCUUACCAAGGCUUUGACGGGUAGCCGGCCUGAGAGGGUGACCGGCCACAUUGGGACUGAGAUACGGCCCAGACUCCUACGGGAGGCAGCAGUGGGGAAUAUUGCACAAUGGGCGGAAGCCUGAUGCAGCAACGCCGCGUGCGGGAUGACGGCCUUCGGGUUGUAAACCGCUUUCGCCUGUGACGAAGCGUGAGUGACGGUAAUGGGUAAAGAAGCACCGGCUAACUACGUG
rnacentral:rRNA from 1 species